rnacentral:misc_RNA from 1 species
UCUCCGUAGGUGAACCUGCGGAGGGAUCAUUAACACGUUCCAAACCAACUUAUCAACCCAACUGUGAACUCUUCGUCUCUGCCUCCUGUCGCUGCCAGCGCUUACGGUGCGUGCUGAGAUCCUGGAUGAAGGUGAAGGGAAGCGACUGCCCUCUCUCUUCCUGAGAGUGAGAUGCGGUCCUCUCUUCAUACGGGUCGAGCUGCGCUUUGAUGGCCUCCUCGUGAGGUCAGCCGUCCUAGCGGUGACGAGGCCCAACACAUAUACGGGUGGCGAUGGGUCAUCCAUCGCCGCACGCAUAUCCACACGACCCUUGUUGGCUAGGGAUACGCUCGCGUGUCCCUCGUUCAGCAUCGAACAUUCUAUCAUUGAUUUCUCUGUGUGCGUCUUCACGACGUGCAUGGGUACUGGCCCUUCUUUUAGCAAGGAGUCUAGUUACACAAAAACAUUGAUACAACUCUUAGCAAUGGAUAUCUUGGUUCUC